CUUCCUUUCUUCUUUCUGUAUAUAUUCCUCAACACUAAUCUCUCUGUCUCUCUUAAGUCUUAAAGAAAACCGAAAUAAGGUAAAGAAGAACAGAGAAAAAACUGAAUAACAAGAGCAAGGCAACGGCUAAUUUCUCUGCCUCUCUCUGUCUCUCUUGCUCUGUUCCACCCUCGCCUUCGCCGCCUGUCGCGCCCCCGCUGUCUCCGAGAAUGUUGUGGAAAGAGAGGAUGGAGAGGCAAGAACGAACUACGAAGGUGGCUGCAACGGGUUUGGAGAAGAAGAAUGCUUAGUUCGAAGAACUCUGGCUGCCCACAUCGACUAUAUGUACACCCAGAAGCAAAUACCUUGAUACACUAUAGGGUGCUAUUACAUGCAAAAUUAGUAGAAAUUUUCGAUAUGGAAACGUUCCCGGUUCGAUCUAUAGUGAAAGCAGUGAGAAGAGAUCCUUCUGAUCUCGGUUGUCACUCACUGUGUUAUGCAAUUUAGGUUACUGCGGUUGUAUUUGGCUCUUCGGAUUAAAAUGAACCAAAAUUAAAA